rnacentral:rRNA from 1 species
UACGGAGGGGGCUAGCGUUGUUCGGAAUUACUGGGCGUAAAGCGCACGUAGGCGGCUUUGCAAGUUAGAGGUGAAAGCCCGGGGCUCAACUCCGGAAUUGCCUUUAAGACUGCAUCGCUAGAAUCGUGGAGAGGUGAGUGGAAUUCCGAGUGUAGAGGUGAAAUUCGUAGAUAUUCGGAAGAACACCAGUGGCGAAGGCGACUCACUGGACACGUAUUGACGCUGAGGUGCGAAAGCGUGGGGAGCAAACAGG